UACGUAGGGGGCAAGCGUUGUCCGGAUUUAUUGGGCGUAACGCGCGUGUAGGUGGCCAUGUAGGUCCGCUGUGAAAACUUGAGGCUCAACCUCAAGCUGUCGGUGGAAACCACAUGGCUAGAGUCCGGAAGAGGAGAGUGGAAUUCCUGGUGUAGCGGUGAAAUGCGCAGAUAUCAGGAAGAACACCAAUGGCGAAGGCAGCUCUCUGGGACGGUACUGACACUGAGACGCGAAAGCGUGGGGAGCGAACAGG
rnacentral:rRNA from 1 species